GAUGAACGCUGACAGAAUGCUUAACACAUGCAAGUCUUUGGCGAAGCUGUGCUCGCACAGCCUAGCCAAGGCGGACGGGUGGGUAACGCGUAAGGAACUUGCCCUGCAGUCAGGGAUAACAGACGGAAACGACUGAUAAGACCUGGUAAAGUCAGACGGACUCAUGUCCAGCCUGAUGAAAAGAGAUGCUGCAGGAGAGCCUUGCGUCUUAUUAGCUUGUUGGUGGGGUAACGGCCCACCAAGGCGAUGAUAGGUAGCCGGCCUGAGAGGGUGGACGGCCACAAGGGGACUGAGAGACGGCCCUUACUCCUACGGGAGGCAGCAGGGGGGAAUAUUGGACAAUGGGGGCAACCCUGAUCCAGCAAUUCUGUGUGCACGAUGAAGGUUUUCGGAUUGUAAAGUGCUUUCAGCAGGGAAGAAAAAAAUGACGGUACCUGCAGAAGAAGCGACGGCUAAAUACGUG
rnacentral:rRNA from 1 species